CACCACCACCACGCCUUCAAUCCGACCUCCACCACUCCAGCAAGCAGGAGCAUCGCAAUGGCUGCGGUCUGCUCAAUUUAACUAUUGAAAUAUUAGUUUCUUGAUCCUUUCUGAGAUCAUGUUUUGUUUGCAUCUGAUAAAUAGGAUGACCUCCUUUCUUUCAGGUUUGUAUGCUAAGAUGAACUUGAGUUACGAGGUUGAUUUGUUUGUAUGCUAGGAUGAACUUGAGUGACGAGGUUGAUUUGGAAGAUCAUGUCUCCAGACAGGAUAAAAUCAGUGCUAAUGUGAGUUGAUUUGGAAGAUUGUCUCAAGACAGGAUAAAAUCAAUGCUGAUGAUGUGAGUGCCUUUUCAUUAUCCUGAACAUUCUUUUUCACUUGUACAACUUCAGCAUAGGAAAUUUCAUUGCCUCAGCUUAAUUAGAAAAUGAUAAUGAUUUCUAAAUCAUUUACUCUUAAAAGCUUAUCAUAGUAAAUGCGGAAAACGAAUGAGAUCAGAAAUAUAGGCGGACGACUUGAUCAUAAGGUCGGAUGUUUUCGUGAGCAGUAAGCAGCGGAUCUGCCAUUUUGGGGGAAAGCUGAUGGCCCUUUUGUCAUGUUAAUUCUGUCGACGGGU
rnacentral:lncRNA from 1 species